rnacentral:rRNA from 1 species
UACAGAGGUCUCAAGCGUUGUUCGGAUUCAUUGGGCGUAAAGGGUGCGUAGGCGGCGCGGUAAGUCGGGUGUGAAAUCUCGGAGCUUAACUCCGAAACUGGCAUUCGAUACUGCCGGUGCUUGAGGACUGGAGGAGGAGACUGGAAUUUACGGUGUAGCGGUGAAAUGCGUAGAUAUCAGGAGGAAUACCGGUGGCGAAAGCGACUCUCGUGGACGGCAACUGACGGCUGAGGCACGAAAGCGUGGGGAGCAAACAGG